rnacentral:lncRNA from 1 species
GCCCCUCCUGUAUCUAUUGAUCUUAUGAUGCCAUGACCUCUAAGUUCCCUUCUCACUGUAUGUCUAUGACACAACAAUUCUCUAUGACCUCUAAGGUCCCUUCUAGCUCAUUACUUUUCAUUCUACAAGGUAAUGAGAACCAAGGGCAUUGAAGUUAACUUCUUCAGGGACUGGUAAACUCCCUUAAGCCACAGCCUCCACUUCAGGAAGAGGGAAAGGUCAGCUCUAGGCCAAGAGCAAAGAUUAAGAACCUUUGUUUUCAGCCCAGACCAAAGGUGUCAACGUUUGCAGCUGGUGCCUUCUCCGAGGGGGUGAGGAGGGCUGAUACCAGAAACAGCCAGUCUGAACUAGAGGAAGCAGGUGUUUGCAGAAAAGUAGUUAAUUAUGAGUUUCAGGUAUGACUGUGGAGCUUGAGAGAUGUCUGUUUUCUUUACUUUUCCUCCCCAACUAGAAAGGAAGAAGGGUUGAGACCCUUAGGAGUACACCUAUCUAUGCUUACUGGGCAGACUCUGAGGUGGGACAUUCUCCCCUAGUCCCUCCACGCUUCCCAGGCCACCAAGCCUGCACCAAGAGUUUAAGCCCCAGAGGGGUUCAGCUCUGCAGUCUCCAGGUGAACCCCAUCCACAGUGGCAACUCGCUCAUUCUUUUAGGGAACAUCUAAGUGAGCCCUGAGUUCAAGUUUUAGGGUUCUGCUUGGGAGAAUUACAGGAUCAUUCAUAAAAACUAAACUCUAGCUGGAUGGGGGGAUGGGGUGGGGGAAGCAUUAGUCACACCCUACACCAGAACUGGGGUUUUCUGGUUUAUGUGCUCUGUGAAAUAUAAGAAACCAUUCAGGGUCAUCACCACCACCCCAGCACUCUCUGACACCAAGUAAUAACACCCCCAGAGACAAUGGGAACAGACUUAUCUAAAAAAAGAGAAUCAAACUUACACAUUACCCUUUAGAAUGGAGUAAUAAGAAAUGGGGGGUGGGGAGGGGAAGGCUUCUGCUUAGUAUGACUCAGGGAUUCUUAAAUCUUUUCAUAUCAUAGAUUCUUAUGGCAAUCUGGUGAAGCCUAUGGACCCCUUCUCCGAAUAAUUUUUUUAAAUAUAAAAAAUAAAAUGUAUAAUAUUACAAAGGAAACCA